UUACGGCCAUAUUAUGUUGAAACCCCGGUUCCCGUACGAUCACUGAAGUUAAGCAACGUCGAGACUGGUCAGUACCUAGAUGAACGACCGCUUGUAAAUACCAGGUGCAGUA